rnacentral:rRNA from 1 species
UACGUAGGGCGCAAGCGUUGUCCGGAAUUAUUGGGCGUAAAGAGCUCGUAGGCGGCCUGUCGCGUCUGCUGUGAAAUCCCGGGGCUUAACCCCGGGCGUGCAGUGGAUACGGGCUGGCUGGAGGCAGGCAGGGGAGAAUGGAAUUCCCGGUGUAGCGGUGAAAUGCGCAGAUAUCGGGAGGAACACCGGUGGCGAAGGCAGCCCCCUGGGCCAAUACUGACGCUCAUGCACGAAAGCGUGGGGAGCAAACAGG